CGGUAUAUAUGCGGAGGCGCAGCCAAGCUGCUGCGUAGUUCGCGCUGGGACUUUGAAGCUCGAAAUUGAUUUGCGCAGCUACGAAACGACAUCGGGGAGAGAAUGGCAUCAGAUGAAGGAAAGCUCUUUGUCGGCGGCCUCAGUUUUGACACCAAUGAACAGUCGCUGGAGCAAGUCUUCUCUAAAUACGGACAGAUCACUGAUGUUGUUGUCGUCAAAGACAGAGAAACCCAGAGAUCCAGAGGGUUUGGCUUUGUCACCUUUGAGAGUGUUGAUGAUGCUAAAGAUGCGAUGAUGGCUAUGAAUGGGAAGUCUGUCGACGGCCGCCAAAUCAGGGUUGAUCAAGCAGGCAAGUCGUCUGACAACAGGUCCCGCGGGUACAGAGGCGGCUCAGCCGGCGGCCGGGGCUUUUUCCGCGGAGGCAGAGGUCGGGGCCGGGGCUUCUCCAGAGGAGGCAGUGGAGACAGAGGUUACGGUGGCAGCCGGUUUGAAUCGAGAAGUGGGGGAUACGGUGGUUCCAGAGACUACUAUGGCAGCAGCAGCAGGAGUCAAGGCAGCUAUGGCGACAGGCCUUCAGGAGGCUCCUACAGAGACAGCUAUGACAGUUAUGGUUGACGGAGAAAAAGAGCCAUUGAUCAGGAAGUGGUUAUGAGGCUGAGCGCGGAACAUAACACCGUAAGCCAACUUCGACUCUUAAGCAGUCGUGUGCCGCAUGGAAGAGGACCGGCCAGGAGCACACCAGCCUCCGGGCUGUGCAGCAAAAGCUUUGAGAGCUGUGCAAUUUUUUUUUAAUGGAUCCAACAAGGCUAAUAAAACACAGGGCUACAA